CCCUAUUUUUUGCCAACUUGAGGGAUAGGCUCGCAGCCCUUGGAUCUGUUUUAAUGAGGCUCGACGGCUGAGAUCAAGUUGAGUGAUUUAAACCCUUUCUAACCUAUAUCACCCCGAGUUCCAGAACUACCCAAUUCAUUGUGCCCCUCUCUCGCGCAUCAACGCUAAGAGAAUUCUCCGAUUUCCAACUCCUCCAAUCUCAAUCAAAAUUCGGAGCUCAUCUCUAUAAAAAACCCACCAAAGAUUCAAACUUUCUCCACCAAAGGGUCCACGAAUCAAAACCCAUAAGCGUUGAUUCGUGAAUGGCGAGCCUGUAUGUGAAAGCUGUGCCUCCUGCGGAUCUGAAUAGGAACACAGAGUGGUUCGUGUACCUGGCGUUUGGACCACCUAUUUUCUCAUCCUCUUCUUCUCUUGGCUCCUUGUGCUCUCGAUUUUUGGCUGCUCUCCUGGCGUGGCUUAGACCAUAGUCAAUCUCUCUCAUUUCGUGCUUCAUCAAGAGAAAGAAAAUGCAUACAGAUUGAAACUUUCAUGGAAGGGUUUCUGUACUUUGAUUUACUGAACUGGAAAUCAUGUGGGGCAGCAGAAAUCCUCAAAUAAAAGUGAUUACUGUCAGCCCACAAUUUGAGAA